rnacentral:rRNA from 1 species
GCGAGUGAAGCGGCAACAGCUCAAAUUUGAAAGCUGGCUCCGGCCCGCAUUGUAAUUUGCAGAGGAUGCUUUUGGUGAGGUGCCUUCCGAGUUCCCUGGAACGGGACGCCACAGAGGGUGAGAGCCCCGUAUGGAUGGACACCAAACCUGUGUAAAGCUCCUUCAACGAGUCGAGUAGUUUGGGAAUGCUGCUCAAAAUGGGAGGUAAAUCUCUUCUAAAGCUAAAUACCGGCCAGAGACCGAUAGCGCACAAGUAGAGUGAUCGAAAGAUGAAAAGCACCUUGAAAAGGGGGUUAAACAGUACGUGAAAUUGUUGAAAGGGAAGCGUUUGUGACCAGACUUGCGCCGGGCAGCUCAUCAGGGGUUCUCCCCUGUGCACUCUGCCCGGCUCAGGCCAGCAUCGGUUCUCGUGGGAGGAUAAGAACGGUAGGAACGUGGCCCCCUCUCGGGGGGGUGUUAUAGCCUGCCGUACGAUACUCCCGUGGGGACCGAGGUUCGCGCUCCGCAAGGAUGCUGG